AUGAUAGAAGAAGAACGGGUUUACAUUCACUCCUUUUGGGAAGGAGAGCUAGCGUGUUCGAGUCGCGCCUAUCAUA
rnacentral:tRNA from 1 species